GUGGGAACGUAUACACAG
rnacentral:snRNA from 1 species